UACGUAGGUGACAAGCGUUGUCCGGAUUUACUGGGCGUAAAGAGCGCGCAGGCGGUCGUUCAAGUCGAGUGUGAAAGCCCCCGGCUCAACUGGGGAGGGUCAUUCGAUACUGAUCGACUCGAAGGCAGGAGAGGGAAGUGGAAUUCCCGGUGUAGUGGUGAAAUGCGUAGAUAUCGGGAGGAACAUCUGUGGCGAAGGCGACACCCUGGACCAGCACUGACACUGAGGCACGAAAGCGUGGGGAGCAAACAGG
rnacentral:rRNA from 1 species